UUUUUUUCUAGUGAAUAAUAAGUUGUUAUCCAACAUUUCUGGCUGCAAAUAUGACUCAAUUGUUGUUUUGGAUCGUGCCUCCAUUUCCAUGAAUGUUUAUUUUCAGAAGUUUGUUAACCCUUGUGUCACCUUGUGGCUUUUUUAUCCAGUAGGGUGCAAAAUACUCUCUUUUUUUUGACCAAAAUACUCGCUAUUUUUUAGAGAGUGAAAUCAUUUUUGGUAAAGAAGUUUAAUUUGACGUAAUUUGAAGUUUAAUUUUGACGUAUUUUUAAUUUUCUCUGGCUGUUUUGGGUCACUUACUUUAGCUGCUAUAAAAACAUACCAGACAAUUUUUUUUUUUUGCUCAAAUCUAUUCGUCAAGCUCAGUCCUUAUCAUAACAUUUUUUAUUAUUAUUUCAUUAUGAAUUUUAACCCUUGAAUGCCAAAUUAAGAGGUGAUGUCACUGAUUUGGUGGAAAGAGAAAAAAUCACACAAAAUGACAGAAUUUCAAUAUAAAAAGUAAUCAGAGGCUGAAGAUUUUUUACAUGCUAUCACACCCUUGGGUAUGUCAAAUAUAACAAAAUUAACUUUGAUGCAUUUUUAUUUUUUGCACAGCAUCGGGUUUAAGUUCAUCAUAACCGCACAGCUUUUCCAUCCGCCCGUUUGCGCUCAUGUUUUCAGAAAGGAGGGGAAAGCAAGAGUGGGAGAGAAUUAAAUUUUUUCAUGUCCGGUAUGUAGGCCUGUCGCGAUAAUCAAUAAAUCGCCUUAUCGCUCGAUAAAUAAAAACGAGGUCGGUCAUUUUGCCAGCCUCGAUAAUUGACGUGCGUUUGUUUUCCUCCUCUCUCGCUACCAAACACGCUGGAUGAGAGAAGAGGUCUCACUCUGCGCAUUGUUCUCGGCACCUGGGGGCGUUGGCUCUAUAGCGGAAUGAACGGAGUUAGUGAACCCUCCUGUCAGUCAUUCAGUAUCUUUGUCACGAGGGGGCUGGCGCGCACAGGCACACAGACACAGACUUUUUGGAUACAGUGCUGCAAGUGAGCAUUGUGAGUGAAAAGCAAGCUAACAGAAUGAACACGACAGCUUUGGUGUCUAAACCGAACGCAACAGCCCAAGUGUGGGAAUAUUUCGGCUUUAAACCAGUUUUGUUUUCGUCAACCACAAAACUCCACGUGUGUGUGUGCGCGUGCGUGUCUGUGUGUUGGAGGAGCACAGCAGGCUGAUGAGAGCUGUCAGAGCGGACUGAAGCUGCUCCUAUAUGUUUAGCGUUUAACUGACUGAGUUUUGCAACUCUGUUCGUCAUUUUCGUCUCGUCUCAUCAACGUAAACGCACUUUCGUCUCGUCACAUUUUAGUCAUCUCCGACUUAUGUUUAGCUCGUCAACGUUACGUCUUCGUCGUGGGAGAAAAGGGAAAUAUUUUAGUCAACGAAAACAACCAGUGUUGUUCUCGUGUGGAAAUUAAAGUUUAUCCCUUUUGACAUGGUGUACUCGCAUUAUUAUGCCAUAUAAUAUCAUUAUCUAUAAUUUAAAAAAUGGUGUCAAUAAUAUCGUUUAUCGGCGAUAAUUUGUAGCACAAUUAUCGUCCAGCAAAAUUUGUUAUCGUGACAGGCCUACCGGUAUGCAUAUUAUUGUUAGAAAACCACCCCAAAAGUGGAUCUUUCAUAAUAGGGGACCUUUAAAACUAUUUGGGAGACAGAUCUGGGAGAGGUGAUUCAUAAAAGUGGAAAAGUAUCAGUCCCAACUCUAAGGCCAUACUUCUCCUUUCCCAUGCUCAUUAAAAAGAAACAGAUAUGAUUCUGCAAGCAUUCACACCAAGUGAUUUUCAGUAAAUGAUGAUUAAAAUACUUAGAUUAUGAUAAAAUACACGUGAUAGCAUACACAUACAAUUUUUCUUACAGCAACGAUUUGCAAAUCAUUUCCAACCUACAUUCAAUUGAAUACAGAAUCUGAUGGCAGCAACACGUGACAAAGAAGUCGGGACAGGUGAGAAAUUUGAGGAAUGCUCAUCAAACACCUAUUUGGACCAUCCCACAGGUGAGCAGGCUAAUAGGGAACAGGUGGGUGCCAUGAUUGGGUAUAAAAGCAGCUUCGCCAAAAAUUCUCAGUCAUUCACAAGCAAGGAUGGGGCGAGGUUCACCACUUUGUGAACAACUGCGUGAGCAAAUAGUCGAACAGUUUAAGAACAACGUUUCUCAAAGUACAAUUGUAAAGAAUUUAGAGAUUUCAACUACAGUCCAUAAUAUCAUCAAAAGGUUCAGAGAAUCUGGAGAAAUCACUGCACAUAAGCGACACGGCCGGAAACCAACUUUGAAUGCCCGUGACCUUCGACCCCUCAGGUGGAACUGUAUCAAAAACUGACAUCAUUGUGUAAAGGAUAUGAUCACAUGGACUCAGGAACACUUCAGAAAACCACUGUCAGUAAAUACAGUUCGUCGAUACAUCUGUAAGUUAAAACUCAACUAAGCAAAGAGAAAGCCAUUGAUCAACAACAUCCAGAAACGCUGCCGGCUUCUCUGGGCCCGAGCUCAUCGAAGAUGGACUGAUGCAAAGUGUAAAAGUGUUCUGUGGUCUGACGAGUCCACAUUUCAGAUUGUUUUUGGAAACAGUGGACGUCGUGUCAUUCGGGCCAAAGCAGAAAAGAACCAUCCGGACUGUUGUAGACGCAAAGUUCAAAAGCCAGCGUCUGUGAUGGUAUGGGGGUGCAUUAGUGCCCAAGGCCUGGGUAACUUACACAUCUCUGAAAGCAACAUUCAUGCUGAAAGGUACACACAGGUUUUAGAGCAACAUAUGCUGCCAUCCAAGCAGCGUCUUUUUCAUGGACAGCCUUCCUGCUUACUUCAGCGAGACAACGCCACGCCACAUUCUGCACGUGUUACAACGGAGUGACUUCGUAGUUAAAGAGUGCGGGUACUCGACUGGCCUGCCUGCAGUCCAGACCUGUUUCCCAUUGAAAAUGUGUGGAGCAUUAUGAAGCGUAAAAUAGGACAACAGAGACCCCGGACUGUUGAGCAACUGAAGCUGUACAUCAAGAAUGGGAAAGAAUUCCACCUUCAAAGCUUCAACAGUUCGUCUCCUCAGUUCACAAACAUUUAUUGAGUGUAACACUCAAUAAAUGUUUGUGAACUGAUUCAGGACACCGAGGACACUGAGAGAGUGUGGAGGGCAGCAGCAGGUGAAACUGACUGAAAGGGAAAGUUUCAUAUCAGGCAAAGAGAAAUCCCCGACAAACCCGGGCUGAGAGAGAGAAGAAUCACAGACCUGUUAGAAAAACAGGAAAGACAGAACAGGGGGGGACAGUCUGACUGGGGGGCUCCUGAAGGUUUUCAUCCAGAGUUUCUGUGUGUCUCUGUCGUUUAUUCAUCUGAGCACAGAAACAUCUUCCAUCAACAAACACAACUCAGAGUUUCUGCAGUUUAUCAGUCCAGGAGCUGCAGAAGAAAUCACAGUUUUGAGACGCUUUAAAGAGGAGAACUGCAGCAAAAUGACUGCUAACCAAAAGAGAAACACUCUAUCAGGGCUGUUCUUGUGCUCAUAUUGAAAGUGAAAGAGUAAUAAAGACAUGCAGACACUCACAUCCCUAACCGCCACAUCCUGUUCUCCAGAUAACGGUUAUUUAACACACUUUCCACCAUAAUGUUUAGAAACCUCUCAGUCUGCAAACAUGGACAGAAAGUCAAAGACUGAAAAGUCUAAAGUGAUCAUGUGUUAAUAUUUCACCCUCCUGUUGUUCCCUCUGUAGCUGCUUUAAACAAAGUCCUCUGACCGAGUUCGACAUGAUUUCACCCUUCAGGACAUCUGAACAUGAAUUGUCUUCAACCGAAGUUUUUCCACUCUCAGCUCUGAAAAAAUAGGGAUAAUUCAACAUAAUCAUCAACACUAAAAGGGUUACAGCCUGAUGAGACCCAAAAUUCAUCCUGAAAUACAGAAAAUGAAUGUUUAUCAGAGUCUUCUGUGUCAAAGGAAAAACUCAGUUUUUAGAGGGUGGUCUCUGACAGAAAAGAAACUCCAAACAACUCCAGAGUGAACACAUGAACUUAGACUUAAACACAGACAGGGUUAUACUACAGACAGGAUCAUCCUACAGACAGGUUUAUGAUACAGACAGGGUUAUACUACAGACAGGGUUAUAACUCAGACAGGGUUAUAACUCAGACCACAGAAACUCCACCUAAAGUGUUUUUAAUUUCAAGUUUUUUUAAUCUAUUAUUUUUUUAAACUCAUUUAUUGAUUAAAAUUUUGUUGUUUUUAUUUUGACUUUCCUUUUCUUUUUCUGUACAUCUCUUUGUGUUGCACCAACAUUGUGUAAGAAGUGCGUCAUAGAUAAAGUUUGUCUCAUUGACACAUUGACUGGGAUGGGCUCAGUUUCAGUUUUCCAGUAAAUCAUGUGAGUGAUUUCAAACAGGGAGACUGAAAGUGAAAGUAUGGAGACUCUAUAAAAACCCACCAGCCCGCUGAUCUGCAGAGUCACUCUGAGCAGAGAUACAGCAGCAGGUAAGAGCCACUUUAACCUGUUAGGACCUUUUUUUACAGUCUCUCUGUCAUUUACUGAUGCUCACUGAAACACCAACUCUGUCCUCCAGCUCCAUUUUAAUCUGUAGAAACUGGAUUUUAUUGAUUUAAGAGUUGCAUGCUGUCUCAUCAUGUUUGGAGGGUUUUACUUCAGAAUAAGGAGAUUAUUGUAAUAAUGAUCACUUUGUUCCUCAUAGGUUGAUGUAAAGGAGAAAUAUUGAACUCUUUAUAUCAGCUGAUUACCUCUCAGAUUUAUCAUUGAUGGUUCAGCCUUAAACAGAUCAAUAAUGUCUGAAUAUCUGCAGACCGUGAGCUUCUACAAAGGUUUUAUUUUAGAGACUGGUCAAACAGCUGAGGUCAUGUUUUAAUAUGUGAACAUGUUCUCUGCAGACAUGGGCUCAUCAAAAUCAAAAUGCAGACGAUCACAUGGACAUUCUCCAUAUUAUCGACCUUCUCCACCUCCUCCAACUCCUCCACCUUCCCGUAAGAGGCUGAAUUCUUACUGACAUGAUCUCAGAUCUGAGGAUCAGGAUCUUUAAUCAGUAACCAUGUUUUUCAGUUUUUCUCACUAUUGUUCAUUUUUGUCCUUCAGCCUGUCUGAGUCAACCGUGGAGACGAUUGAAUGAGUGAGUGAGCAUUCUAAGGACACACACACACACACACACACAUACACAUACACACAUAGACAUACAUAUACACAUUGACACACGCACACACACAUAUACACAAAUACACGCAUAUACACACAGUAAUAUAUAUAUAUAUACAUAUAUACACAUAUACACUCACCGGCCACUUUAUUAGGUACACCUGUCCAACUGCUCGUUAACACUUAAUUUCUAAUCAGCCAAUCACAUGGCGGCAACUUAGUGCAUUUAGGCAUGUAGACAUGGUCAAGACAAUCUCCUGCAGUUCAAACCGAGCAUCAGUAUGGGGAAGAAAGGUGAUUUGAGUGACUUUGAACGUGGCAUGGUUGUUGGUGCCAGAAGGGCUGGUCUGAGUAUUUCAGAAACUGCUGAUCUACUGGGAUUUUCACGCACAACCAUCUCUAGGGUUUACAGAGAAUGGUCCGAAAAAGAAAAAAUAUCCAGUGAGCGGCAGUUCUGUGGGCGGAAAUGCCUUGUUGAUGCCAGAGGUCAGAGGAGAAUGGCCAGACUGGUUCGAGCUGAUAGAAAGGCAACAGUGUCUCAAAUAACCACCCGUUACAACCAAGGUAGGCAGAAGAGCAUCUCUGAACGCACAGUACGUCGAACUUUGAGGCAGAUGGGCUACAGCAGCAGAAGACCACGCCGGGUGCCACUCCUUUCAGCUAAGAACAGGAAACUGAGGCUACAAUUUGCACAAGCUCAUCGAAAUUGGACAAUAGAAGAUUGGAAAAACAUUGCCUGGUCUGAUGAGUCUCGAUUUCUGCUGCGAUAUUCGGAUGGUAGGGUCAGAAUUUGGCGUCAACAACAUGAAAGCAUGGAUCCAUCCUGCCUUGUAUCAACGGUUCAGGCUGGUGGUGGUGGUGUCAUGGUGUGGGGAAUAUUUUCUUGGCACUCUUUGGGCCCCUUGGUACCAAUUGAGCAUCGUUGCAACGCCACAGCCUACCUGAGUAUUGUUGCUGACCAUGUCCAUCCCUUUAUGACCACAAUGUACCCAACUUCUGAUGGCUACUUUCAGCAGGAUAAUGCGCCAUGUCAUAAAGCUGGAAUCAUCUCAGACUGGUUUCUUGAACAUGACAAUGAGUUCACUGUACUCAAAUGGCCUCCACAGUCACCAGAUCUCAAUCCAAUAGAGCAUCUUUGGGAUGUGGUGGAACAGGAGAUUCGCAUCAUGGAUGUGCAGCCGACAAAUCUGCGGCAACUGUGUGAUGCCAUCAUGUCAAUAUGGACCAAGCUCUCUGAGGAAUGCUUCCAGCACCUUGUUGAAUCUAUGCCACGAAGAAUUGAGGCAGUUCUGAAGGCAAAAGGGGGUCCAACCCGGUACUAGCAUGGUGUACCUAAUAAAGUGGCCGGUGAGUGUAUUUAUAUAUACACUCACCGGCCACUUUAUUAGGUACACGUUCAAGAAACCAGUCUGAGAUGAUUCCAGCUUCAUGACAUGGCGCAUUAUCCUGCUGAAAGUAGCCAUCAGAAGUUGGGUACAUUGUGGUCAUAAAGGGAUGGACAUGGUCAGCAACAAUACUCAGGUAGGCUGUGGCGUUGCAACGAUGCUCAAUUGGUACCAAGGGGCCCAAAGAGUGCCAAGAAAAUAUUCCCCACACCAUGACACCACCACCACCAGCCUGAACCGUUGAUACAAGGCAGGAUGGAUCCACGCUUUCAUGUUGUUGACGCCAAAUUCUGACCCUACCAUCCGAAUGUCGCAGCAGAAAUCGAGACUCAUCAGACCAGGCAAUGUUUUUCCAAUCUUCUACUGUCCAAUUUCGAUGAGCUUGUGCAAAUUGUAGCCUCAGUUUCCUGUUCUUAGCUGAAAGGUCUUCUGCUGCUGUAGCCCAUCUGCCUCAAAGUUCGACGUACUGUGCGUUCAGAGAUGCUCUUCUGCCUACCUUGGUUGUAACGGGUGGUUAUUUGAGUCACUGUUGCCUUUCUAUCAGCUCGAACCAGUCUGGCCAUUCUCCUCUGACCUCUGGCAUCAACAAGGCAUUUCCGCCCACAGAACUGCCGCUCACUGGAUAUUUUUUCUUUUUCGGACCAUUCUCUGUAAACCCUAGAGAUGGUUGUGUGUGAAAAUCCCAGUAGAUCAGCAGUUUCUGAAAUACUCAGACCAGCCCUUCUGGCACCAACAACCAUGCCACGUUCAAAGUCACUCAAAUCACCUUUCUUCCCCAUACUGAUGCUCGGUUUGAACUGCAGGAGAUUGUCUUGACCAUGUCUACAUGCCUAAAUGCACUAAGUUGCCGCCAUGUGAUUGGCUGAUUAGAAAUUAAGUGUUAAUGAGCAGUUGGACAGGUGUACCCAAUAAAGUGGCCGGUGAGUGUAUAUAGUUUCAACAAAGCUUAUCACACCUUUCUUUUUUCUUUCCUUCUUUUAUCCUUUUAUUUUAUUAGUUUUAAUAUAUUAUAUGAUCUUGUUUUAAAUUAUUUAAAAUAAUUUUAUCUUUUUUGAAUCUUAUGUUAUUAUAAAUUAUCUUGUUUUAUCUUGUCUUAUUUUCAUCAAUUCUAUAUUUUUAUUUUGUUUUAUCUUGCUUCAACUUUUUAUCUUGUAUAAUCUGUUAAUCUUGUUUUAUCUUGAAAUUUUCUUAAUUUUCAUUUUUUAAAAUGAUUUUAUCUUUUUAUCUUAUCAUUUUAUUUUGUCUUAUCUUUUUAUUUUAUUUUAUCCUGUUUUUAAUUUGUGUUUUUUUUAUUUCCUUAUUUUAUUUGAUCUGAUUUCACACUUUUAUUGAAUCUUAUUUUAUCCUUUUAAAUUUUAACUUUUUUUAGAAAUAAUUUAAUCUUUUCAUUGAUCUUUUUUAAACUUUUUUUUGUCUGUUUUAUCUGGUUUUGUCUUGUUGUAUUUUAUUGUAGUUUGUUAUGGUCAGGGCUCUUUUGUUUAAUACUAAACAGAUGAGAUAAAACAAUCUGAUGUCUCUGCUUUGUCAGGAGCUCCGGGGACAUCAUUAGGUACCUGGGAGCCUACCACCCUCGAAACAAACAAGUCAGUCACUUGAGGGUUCUGCUGCACGGCCCGGUCGGUGCAGGAAAGUCCAGUUUCAUCAACUCAGUGGACAGCGCUCUCAGGGGUCGUGUGACCGGUCGAGCUGCUACUGAUGCAACUUCAGGGACAAGCUACACCCUGGAGGUAGGACGGUCUAGAGCCUGAGAGAACGUCUGAUUGUGGUCCUUCAGAAACUUCUGAGACAGUUAUACGUGACUUAACAAAUUUACAAAAUGACAGAGACAAACAUAAAAUAUCCACAAAUUAAUGAAAAACUCAAAUGAACAAACUCUUUAGAAACUAACUCUCUCUAACUCUCUCAGACUGAAUCUCCUUUUUAAGAAAAUGAAAAAUCUUUUAAAUUGACACUUUUAUUUGUUUAACUGAUGCAUUUACUGUCUCCUUCUUUCAGUAUAAAACCUACAAGAUAGAAAAACAGGCGUCGAGCUUUUAUUCUGUGGUUUUUAAUGACAUCAUGGGCCUGGAGAACAGCCUGGACAACGGCGUCCAAGUGGACGACGUCAAACUGGCGAUGAAAGGACACGUGAAGGAAAAUCACAAGGUACGCACUGAAGGACUUUGUUGAACUGAAGGUCCUGUAGAGUCUAAUCUGUCCAACCAUAGAGGUUAAAUCCACAGUCACUGAUCGAACCAGAACCAAGUCUGUGAGGACAUGAUACCACACCAGUGUACAACAGCGCCAUCUUCCUGUUUUAAGGUGUAUUACUACUUCCUGUGGCUGAGGGGAUUUUGAGAAUGACUCUGGCUGUGUCUCAUUUCAGAGACCGCAUCGUGAUAAGCGCGCUUAACGGCGCUUAGCUGAGUGCACUGCCGUUUUGAGCCGUUUUACGCCGUUUUGCGCCGUUCUGUGCCCUUCCUGUGUCCCAUUUCAGAUACAGCAGCCAUCGAACGGCGCAUCUGACGCGUACGUGAGGUCACCACGCGGCACGAACGGUGUCCCGUUUGGCACAAAAUACUAAGCGCGCUUCAAAUUCGGUCUCAAAACCACACUACCCCCGCCUCGUUUUCAAGCGUGCAUGUAUGCACGCUUUCGUGCCGUCGGUAUCCCAGAAUUCUUUGCGUGCCGCUGCACAGCUGUGCAUUUCAGGUGAGAGGCUGGACUCGCUUGGAGACACAGCGCGUCUUCGAAGAAAAUACAAGCAAUCCAAAACCAUCAGACAGUCAGCUCAGGCUGUAUGAGAGCAUGAUCUCUGAACUCACUAAAAUCUGUAAACCAAACAUUAGAGAUUUAGAGACGAACUGAUCCGCUGUGUUACAACUAUCAAAAACAUUAGAAAUAAGAAGCUGACAAAACUACAGCAGAGGAUCAGGACAACAUUGAGUUUUUUUUCUUUUAAGAUUUAGAGAUUCAAGUUGUAAAUUUAGGAGAAUAAAGUCAUAAAGUAAAUAAAGUCAUGAAGCUGCUUUUGUGGAGGGGGAAAUGACUGAAGCUGGUCAUCUGCAGGGUUAUCUGUGGAUGUAUCAGCGGGUCAUUCAGAGAGAUUUUGUGGUUUCUGAAGAAACAAUCAAACUGAUGAUGAUCAACAUUUGUGAUCCAGAGGGAGUCGAGCUCCGACGAGCACCACGUCUCUGACACCGGCCGUAGCCUACACCUGCAGAGACACCAACACCUUAUUAUGGCAUAUGGAUUCAUAUCAUAAACUAAAGCUCAAUGUCAUUCACGGAUAUUAACGGCUGCAUUGACAGAUAUAUCCUCAGCAUAUUCAUUUCUGCCUCCACAAAAGCAGCGAUUUCCUUCAAGUACACCAGUUUUUUCCCCCGUGGAAAAGACGUAUUUCUCAUAUAUUCUUUUUAAAGUCUUUAUACUUAUGACAAUGUUAUGCUGAUGUGCCAGAGGAUGAAGAAUCUCCUUGUUUGUGAAACCUAUACUGAAGCACAGUUCCUUCAAAUGCUUCAUGGCCCUAAUUUUAGCAAGUCUCUCUGAAAUAACAGGUUAUGACUUCAUUCUCAUAAAUUAAUGACUUUAUUCUCGUAAAUUCACGACUUAAAUCUCGAAGUCCUUAAAGUCUUAAAUCUCAAUAUGGCCCUCAUACUCCUUCUUACAAAACAAUCAUUGGAUGAAUUGUGCUUGUAUGUAUCUACUAUUUUGUGUCUGUGCAAGGUCGCACAAUUAAAACAAUAAAUGCUGCGCUCUGCGGGUUUCCUUUAAGUCAGUCGUGACGCGAGCCUGAGGGCGGGGACAUUUGGCAACUCCACCAGGAAGUCCUCCGAAGGUCUCCAAAUGUCCCCGCCCUCAGGCUUACGUCACGACUGAUUAGAAAAAAAGCUGCGGAGCGCAGCAUGUAUUGUUUUAAUUGUGCGACCUUGCACAGACACAAAAUAGUAGAUACAUACAAGCCCAGAUCAUUCCCACAAAAUUAAUCCAAUGAUUGUUUUGUAUGAAGGAGUAUGAGGGCCCUAUUUAGAAGGAGGAUAGGAGAUACUUCAUCCUCUGGCACAUCAGCAUCACAUUGUCAUAAGUAUAAAGACUUUAAAAAGAAUAUAUGAGAAAUACGUCUUUUCCACGGGGAAAAAAACUGGUGUACUUGAAGGAAAUCGCUGCUUUUGUGGAGGCAGAAAUGAAUAUGCUGAGGAUAUAUCUGUCAAUGCAGCCGUAAAUAUCCGUGAAUGACAUUGAGCUGUAAUUUAUGAUAUGAAUCCAUAUGCCAUAAUAAGGUGUUGGUGUCUCUGCAGGUGUAGGCUACGGCCGGUGUCAGAGACGUGGUGCUCGUCGGAGCUCGACUCCCUCUGGAUCACAAAUGUUGAUCAUCAUCAGUUUGAUUGUUUCUUCAGAAACCACAAAAUCUCUCUUAAUGACCCGCUGAUACAUCCACAGAUAACCCUGCAGAUGACCAGCUUCAGUCAUUUCCCCCUCCACAAAAGCAGCUUUAUGACUUUAUUUACUUUAUGACUUUAUUCUCCUAAAUUUACAACUUGAAUCUCUAAAUCUUAAUAGAAAAAAACCUCAAUGUUGUCCUGAUACUCUGCUGUAGUUUUGUCAGCUUUCUCAUUUCUAAUGUUUUUGAUAGUUGAAGCAGAGCGGAUCAGUUCGUCUCUAAAUCUAUAAUGUUUGGUUAACAGAUUUUAGUGAGUUCAGAGAUCAUGCUCUCAUACAGCCUGAGCUGACUGUCUGCUGUUUUUGGAUUGCUUGUAAUUUCUUUGAAGACGCGCUGCGUCUCCAAGCGAGUCCAGCCUCUCACCUGAAAUGCGCAGCUGUGCAGCAGCACGCAAAGGAUUCUGGGAUACCGACGGCACGAAAGCGUGGAUAAAUGCACGCUUGAAAACAUGCUAAGCGCGCUUAGCAUUUUUUAGCAUCUCGUGCCAAACGGGACACCGUUCGCACCGUCGUGACGUCAUGCACACUUCAAAUGCACCGUUCGACGGUGCAGAAGGGCACUUAGGUCGAUGCGGUCUCUGAAAUGAGACACAGCCUCUGGCUGUGUCUCAUUUCAGAGACCGCAUCGGGAGAAGCGCGCUUAGCUGAGUGCACUGCCGUUUUGCACCCUUCCUGUGUCCCAUUUCAGAGACCGCAACCGUCGAACGGCGCAUCUGAAGCGUGCGUGAGGUCAUCACGCGGCACGAACGGUGUCCCGUUUGGUACAAAAUACUAAGCGCGCUUCAAAUUCGGUCUCAAAACCACACUACCCCCGGCCCUUUUUCAAGCGUGCAUUUAUGCACGCUUUCGUGCUGUCGGUAUCCCAGAAUUCUUUGCGUGCCGCUGCACAGCUUCGCAUUUCAGGUGAGAGGCUGGACUCGCUUGUGGACACAGCGCGUCUUCAAAGAAAAUACAAGAAAUCCAAAAUCAGCAGACAGUCAGCUCAGGCUGUAUGAGAGCAUGAUCUCUGAACUCACUAAAAUCUGUAAACCAAACAUUAUAGAUUUAGAGACGAACUGAUCCGCUGUGUUACAACUAUCAAAAACAUUAGAAAUAAGAAGCUGACAAAACUACAGCAGAGGAUCAGGACAACAUUGAGUUUUUUUUCUUUUAAGAUUUAGAGAUUCAAGUUGUAAAUUUAGGAGAAUAAAGUCAUAAAGUAAAUAAAGUCAUGAAGCUGCUUUUGUGGAGGGGGAAAUGACUGAAGCUGGUCAUCUGCAGGGUUAUCUGUGGAUGUAUCAGCGGGUCAUUCAGAGAGAUUUUGUGGUUUCUGAAGAAACAAUCAAACUGAUGAUGAUCAACAUUUGUGAUCCAGAGGGAGUCGAGCUCCGACGAGCACCAUGUCUCUGACACCGGCGGUAACCUACACCUGCAGAGACACCAACACCUUAUUAUGGCAUAUGGAUUCAUAUCAUAAACUAAAGCUCAAUGUCAUUCACAGAUAUUUACGGCUGCGUUGACAGAUAUAUCCUCAGCAUAUUCAUUUCUGCCUCCACAAAAGCAGCGAUUUCCUUCAAGUACACCAGUUUUUUCCCCGUGGAAAAGACGUGUUUCUCAUAUAUUCUUUUUUAAGUCUUAAAAAAACCAGAAAUGGGUUUCUUCGACCCAUUCUUUCCAACUCCUCCCAGUCGUUGUCUGUCCCCUUCUCCAGUAAGAUAAAUAUCUGCUCCUCACACUAGAAGCUUCUUGGAUAAGAGGCGAAACAUCUUCUCAACUCUACACAGUCCAGUUGCCUAUUUUUAAGUCUUCAAGAUAAUUUUGUCUUUAUCUCAUUUUUUUCUAGUUUAAUCCUCAAAACCCGCUCUCAGAGCGUGAUCAUGGCUACAACCCAAUCCCCACCUUGGAUGACAAAGUCCACGUCCUGGUCUGCGUGGUCCCUGUGGACACUGUGUCUCGGCUGACUGAUGGGGUGGUGCAGAAGUUAAGACAGGUCAGACUGGCAGCCAGGGACCAGGGUAAGUUCCCGCUCUGUGGACUCUAAGUCACCAGAGUCCUGCUGUCUGAGGUCUGAACCCCUCUGUGUGUCUGCAGGAAUCCCCCAGUUCGCCAUCCUCACCAAAGUGGACAAAGCCUGUCCAGAGGUGGGGAGAGACAUCCGCAACAUUCACAAGAGCAAAUACCUGAAGAAGCAGGUGAGUCUGAGUCCCUUAGAUUGUCCAAAGACCUUUACUCAGAGUCCAGUAACCAGACCGUCUCUGUGACCUGAAGGUGGAGCAGUUCAGCGUCCUCCUGGGGAUCCCUGUCAACUGCAUCUUCCUGGUGAAGAACUACGAGUCUGAGUGCUCCAUGUCUGAUGAGGUGAGCAGACCAAUCCUGACCGCCCUGAGACAGAUAGUAGACUACGGAGAGGACUACCUGAACAACAUGUAGACCCUUGCUCUGCUGAGACCCCCCCACACUCCAUGGUCAAGGAUUGGAGACCCCCCUGACCACAAUCUGGUUUCAGCCGUGUCAUGCAUGCGUUGAGAGAUCGUCGGUGUUUGAAAGUGUUCAGACUCUGGAAACUUCUUUCUGUUAAUUUAGACUUUGAAUAGGAAACUGUACAUAAAACAUUUUCAAUAAAACUAAAAUAAUGACCCAAUAAA
rnacentral:lncRNA from 1 species